AGGAGGGCAAAUUUUGAGGUGUUACAGUGUUUUACGUUGUUUGAGUUUUAUGAUUUUUUUUACAGAGUCGUUUUUACAAAGUUUUUUUUCUUCUGAGUUUAAAGGAUGUAAUUUGUGUGUUUUUUUCUUGCAGAAAAUGUGUAUAUGGAUAUGUAAAUAACAAGUUGUAUAUAUAAUAUUUUAGAAGCUGAAGAAGACGAAGAAUUGGAUGAAGAAGAUGGAGAGUUUGAAAAAUGAGAAUGACAAUUUCAAAAGUUGGCCUUCCAUCAAAAUGGACUACAAGUUCUUGUUGUUGCUGAGAAUAAAAUUUUGAAGGUGAGGAGUUUUGUUAUUGUUGUUGGUGAUGGGGAUGAUUGGUGUUGCCUAUCUUCUAUUUGUUGUUUGCAUAUUUGUAGUUUCAUUUAAGAUUCUUGUGUUUUACGUUGUUUGAGUUUUAUGAUUUUUUUUAUAGAGUCCUUUUUACAAAGUUUUUUUUUCUUCUGAGUUUAAAGAAUGUGAUUUGUGUGUUUUUUUCUUGCAGAAAAUGUGUAUAUGGAUAUGUAAAUAACAAGCUGUAUAUAUAUGCAGAAAAGGUGUUUUUUUCUGAGUUUUUUACUGAAAAAUGUUGUUG
rnacentral:lncRNA from 1 species